UACGUAGGUGGCAAGCGUUAUCCGGAAUUAUUGGGCGUAAAGCGCGUGUAGGCGGCCCGGAGCGUCAGUGGCUGAAAUCCCCCGGCUCAACCGGGGAACGGGCCCUGAAACGUCCGGGCUGGAGGGGGGUAGGGGGAUCGGGAACUUCCGGUGGAGCGGUGAAAUGCGUUGAGAUCGGAAGGAACGCCCGCGGCGAAAGCGCGGUCCUGGACCCCACCUGACGCUGAGACGCGAAAGCCAGGGGAGCGAACGGG
rnacentral:rRNA from 1 species